rnacentral:rRNA from 1 species
AAAAUUAGAGUGUUCAAAGCAGGCAGAUCCAAUUUUCUGCCACCGAAUACAUUAGCAUGGGAUAAUGGAAUAGGACCCUGUCCUCCUAUUUUCAGUUGGUUUUGGCAGCGCGAGGACUAGGGUAAUGAUUAAUAGGGAUAGUUGGGGGCAUUAAUAUUUAAUUGUCAGAGGUGAAAUUCUUGGAUUUAUGAAAGAUUAACUUCUGCGAAAGCAUCUGCCAAGGAUGUUUUCAUUAAUCAAGAACGAAAGUUAGGGGAUCGAAGACGAUCAGAUACCGUCGUAGUCUUAACCAUAAACGAUGCCGACCAGCGAUUAGGAGACGUUGAAUACAAAACACCACCAUCGGUGCGGUCGUCCUUGGCGUCUCGGUUUCGGCCGGGGCGCGGGGAUGGCUUAGCCCGGUGGCACCGGUGAA